rnacentral:rRNA from 1 species
GGGUCAGUAGGUUGGUCGUGCCACCGGUACGUACUGGUCUCGCUGAUUCCUCCUUCCUGAAGAACCGUAAUGCCAUUAAUUUGGUGUUGCGGGGAAACAGGACCGUUACUUUGAAAAAAUUAGAGUGAUUAAAGCAAGCUAACGCUUGAAUACAUUAGCAUGGAAUAAUGAAAUAGGACGAUCGAUCCUAUUUUGUUGGUUUCUAGGAUUGACGUA